AUCGGACAAUAACUGAAAAAACAAUUUAAAUCAUUGGCAAUCAUCGAACAUUCUGCAUGUGGUAAGUUUGUUUAUGAUAAUAUUUCUUGGGAAAAUCCAUAAAUAUGUCUUCAGUACGGAAAUAAAUGAAAAUCAUGAAAAGUUUAUGCUUGUUGCGGUCUAGCAGACGACGCAAUGUGAAAUGCGGUUUAUGCACCUAAAAAACAUUAUUUGCGACUGAAAUGGGAAAAGUAUUGAAAUUAUAUAUAUUUGAUAUGCUUACAAAGGUAGCAUGUAGAAAAAAAAUGAAAAAACCCGAAGUAUAGGAAGUCCCUCUUUCCGAAUUUUUUAAAACUAUGGAACGCCAUCGCUGACAUAAAUUUUAUAAACUAUAUAAUAUCAAUUUUUAUUUCUUUUUUUAAAUAGUCAUGUACUUGUAACCAGGAUUAAAACAAGUUCAAUUCCUUAGUAUAUUUAUGUUCCUGAUGUCACUGAGAAUUUUGUUUACUAGUUGGAUCCUAUAAUAAACUUACAACUUAUUCAUUAUUACAGUUGCUGCACAAGAAUUCCACACCUGUUGUGUAAUAUGAUCUGAAGUUCAAGUAAUGAGUUGCUGCAGAAGAAUUCAACACCUGUUGUGUAUUAUGGUAUUGGUAUUUAGCUGAAGUUAGGUCAUGAGUAUUACAGUUGCUGCAGAAGAAUUCCACACCUGUUGUGUAUUAUGAUCUGAAGUUCAAGUCAUGAGUUGCUGCAGAAGAAUUCAACACCUGUUGUGAAUAAUGAUAUUGGUAUUCAACUGAAGUUCAGAUCAUGAGUACUUCUGAUGAAAACACUUGCGUUUUAUGUGGCGUUAGAGACGACAACCCCACUUCAGUUCUUGGCGACAGGGGAUGCCAGAGCAUCAUAGCAGCCAGCAAGAAUAAGGGUCGAACGUUGGUCGUCUCACCUGGACAGCAAGUUCACAAGGAAUGCAGGAGGAUUUACUGCCACCCCAAUCAGAAUCGUCUCAAUAGCAGCAGCAAAGAAAAUUUAUAUACAAGUCCAAGUACUAGACAGUCAUUAGAAUUAUCAUUUGACUUUCAAACGAAGUGUUUUUUCUGUGGAACAAAUGCAACACAUAAACAACAUAAACGUAAACGAGGUAGAGAUGUUCACCCUGUUUUAACAUUAGAGUUUCAAAAGUCUAUUAAAGAUGUUUGUUUAGAAAGAAAUGAUG